rnacentral:rRNA from 1 species
AACGAACGCUGGCGGCAUGCCUAACACAUGCAAGUCGAACGAGACCUUCGGGUCUAGUGGCGCACGGGUGCGUAACGCGUGGGAACCUGCCCUUAGGUUCGGAAUAACUCCCCGAAAGGGGUGCUAAUACCGGAUAAUGUCUUCGGACCAAAGAUUUAUCGCCUUUGGAUGGGCCCGCGUUGGAUUAGCUAGUUGGUAGGGUAAAAGCCUACCAAGGCGACGAUCCAUAGCUGGUCUGAGAGGAUGAUCAGCCACACUGGGACUGAGACACGGCCCAGACUGCGACGGGAGGGAGCAGUGCGGAAUAGUGUAUAAGGGGAGGGAGGAUGAUGUAGCGACGCCGCGUGCGGGAAGACGGCAAUCGGGUAGGAAUCCAAUUUCAUUAGGGAAGAAGCGAAAGUGACGGUACCUGGAGAAGAAGCACCGGCUAACUACGUG